UUUUAGCCCCUGGAGUGCAAGCUCUGUGUGCACUGUUAACUUUUUUUGUGUGCCCUUGAGCGUUGUGGGGAGGGUGUUUUCCUCCCCUUUGAUGGUUGUGAAUUGCUUCAUGCUGAUUGCAGCGUAUCUCAAAACGCCUACGGACAGUGGGACUGUUUGAGUGAGAGAGAUUUCAAGUGCCUCACUGAACCGCACUGCCGGCUCCACCCUGCUUUAUAAAGAGCCCCUCAAAGUGAACUGGAGACUGAACGCGCCAUGGAAGGAGCCUGAGGAGUGUGUAUUCAGCUGCCUUUGAGUAGAGGCUGUGCUUUCCUUCUGCGGCAGGAAGCCCAGAGUUCUACCCCAGAGUUCUGCAUGGUCCUGACCUCAAAGCACUGUACAAGAUCAACUUGCAAGAUCAUGGGUGAAUCUGCUUCCUCAUGAACUGCCUCGAGUUCCAGUAUUGCAGAAUGGUGGCCAGGCACUACUCGCACUGCUCAUUCGCUGGGGUGAAACCCACCAAGGUGCACUUCACAACCCGGUGACACUGUCUGCUCACACUUCACGAUCCAGACCUCGAGGAGAAAGUUUGCAAUGUUAAAAUUAGCCUUUGAAAUUGAUAUAAUCUUCACGUGUUGCUUUGGUAAAAUGGUGUUAACACAGUGGGGUUCCAAACUCCUUGCAUUUGGACAUUGUGCCUAUGGGCUCUCUCACCAGAUUUGAAUGAUUCUUCAUUUGCAUAAUUGUCACCAAGAGCCACGUUUUAGUCUAACAACAAUGUUCAGCAGCUGACCGGACAGUUCCCCAAACAUUUUUCACUUGGCAGUACCAGUGGGGACCACCUCCAGAAGCAUCAUGAGGUCAAUAAUAGCUAAUGUUGAACAUAAGAACGGCCAUACUGGGUCAGACCUAGGAUCCAUCUAGCACAGCGUCUGGUCUUCUGACAGUGGCCAAUCCAGAUGUUUCAGAGAGAAUGAACAGAACAAGGGAAUUAUCAAAUGAUCGAUCCAUCCCCUGUUGUCCAGUUCCAACUUCUGGCAGUCAUGAGGCUGCGUCCUUGACCAUCCUGGCUAAUAGCCAUUGUUGGACCUAUCCUCCAUGAACUUAUCUAAUUCUUUUUUGAACCCAGUUAUACUUCUCGCCUUCUACUGGGUUAUGUAUAAGACCUCAACAGCUGAGCAGGCGGAUGAAGCAGGAUCACCUCUCCAUGGCUGCGAAGACAGGUGAAAGCUGAAAUGGAGGAGAAACCCCUGGUUGUCUCGGAACUCCUUCCCACCAGACUACAGCUGCCUCUUCCACCAAGAUUUGUGUGGCUGCUGGUGCACAGCCACAUUAAACUACUCAUGCGCAGGCUUCUUUCCCAAGAAGAACGUUCUCCCCAACUCCACCCACAAAAGUCCUGCGGCGAUGGGCAAGUGGUGAUGGGGACAGGUGAAGUGAUCACAAGGAGUCCCUAGUCACAGACCCACACACAGGUGGUGACCACAAGAGGGUCAUCAUUUGCCCCUGGACUGGGAUGGGGGGCAUUUUCAGCAGCAGCGGUCCCGACUGAGCAGGGCAUUUGCUACUCGCUGUUUGCCUUGCUACUCGCUGCCAUGAGGACUGGUUUAACGACAACAACAUUGAGAUCACAGCCCUUUUGGACCAGAGGAGAAAAGCUUUCUGCGACUGGCAAAACCAUCCAUCAUCCUGUCAGAAGCAGAGCUCUUCCCAUCAGCUCAAAGCUGAGGUUCAAAGGAGAAUACGAGAAAUCAAAAACAAAUGGUGGGAGGACAAAGCAAAACAAAUCCAAACGUUCGCUGACAGACAUGAUAUGCAGAGCUUUUUUUGUGAGGAGAAAAAGACCCUGUACAGAGCAAGGUCAUGUGGCCUCACACUGCUGAGAUCCAAAGAUGGUAGUGCCCUUCUUAAAGGUAACGAAUCCAUCAAAGAGCGCUGGAAGGAACACUACCAAAAGCUUCUAAAUCGAGAAUCAUCUGUGACUGACGACAUCAUCAACUCCAUCCCUCAGCACCCAAUCUGCGAAACUCUUGCCAACCCACCAACACCUGAGGAGAUCCGCAAAGCAAUUAAACGUGAAAAACAAUAAAGCCUCAGGUCCUGAUGGCCCACCAGCUGAAGUACUCAAAGUGGGGAGAGAAGCACUGACUAACAAGCUUCAUUUGCUGCUCCUAAAAAUCUGGUGCACCGAAGAAAUCCCUGCUGACUUACGUAAUGCUAACAUCGUCCCCAUUUUCAAAAAGGGAGAUAGGGCUGACUGUGGCAACUAUCGAGGCAUUGCCCUCCUCUCCAUCGCUGGGGAGAUUCUUGCUAGAAUCUUAUUGAAUUGCUUGCUCCCUCUUGCAGCAGAAGCACUUCCAGAGUCCCAGUGUGGCUUCAGACCAUCACGAGGCACCACCGACAUGAUUUUUGCAGCCAGGCAGAUCUAGGGAAAAUGUCAAGAACAACACCAGGAGCUGAAUAUGGCCUUUAUCGAUCUGUCCAAAGCCUUCAGCUCUGUCAACCAUGAGGCUCUGUGGAAAAUCAUGUCAAAGUUUGGCUGCCCAAGCAAAUUUACCACCAUUGUAAGACUCCUCCAGAUGACUGCUUCCAUCCUGUGCAGUGGCUCUAACUCUGAGCCCUUUGUCAUCCGAACGGACGUAAAACAAGGAUGUGUACUGCCACUCACCCUUUUCUCCAUUUUCUUAGCAGCUAUGAAAACGCUAACCCAAGAGCGUCUACCAUAGGGCAUUGGCAUCCAAUUUCAGACUGACAGCAACCUCUUCAACCUUUCUCGUCUCCAUGCCAGAACUAAAGUAAUAUCGGCAACAAUAA